AACCAUUCUCACCUGCGGCUAGACCUGCGGAGGGAUCAUUACCGAGUUUACAACUCCCAAACCCCUGUGAACAUACCAAUUGUUGCCUCGGCGGAUCAGCCCGCUCCCGGUAAAACGGGACGGCCCGCCAGAGGACCCCUAAACUCUGUUUCUAUAUGUAACUUCUGAGUAAAACCAUAAAUAAAUCAAAACUUUCAGCAACGGAUCU
rnacentral:misc_RNA from 1 species